UGUUCCUACCAAGAAUCGGACUUGGGAUACAAUCUUAUCAGAAUUGUGUGAUACCACUUCACUAUAAGAAC
rnacentral:tRNA from 1 species